GGAGGUACAGCUCAGUGGUAGAGCGCCUGCUUUGUGUACAUGAGGUCCCGGGCUCAAUCCCCAGUGCCUCCA
rnacentral:tRNA from 1 species